AUCAGACUAACAGCAGGUGUUACAAUCAGUGUUUGUCACAAAGAUUGAUGCAAAGGUGAUCAGUGGCAGAUUUACAACGAUGUUUAAUGUUUGUUUUUGGCCAUAACAGUAGUCGUUGUUUGGAUAUCUUCCAUUAAGUCAUCAUAAAACAAUAACAAUUAGUACAGAAUUAAGAGCCAACGUCACUUGAAGUGGAGAUAAAUGACAUACUGGGUGUUCAACUCCUCAGCAUUCUUUUUUUAUUCGUUGGUCACCUAAAUUAGAUUUACGGUGUUAAAAUGCUCUCAGGUCAUCUGUGUGAAAAGUGCGGUGACACUGAAGCAGCAAACAUCUGAGGAGAAAGUCUUGUUUUCUCCGAUGCGGCAGUGGAUGACCUCGAGUGACGGAGAGAGUGUGAGGAGCCAUGUUUUGUUUUUCAUCAAAUUGCUGCCCAGAGUCAGUCGUUCAAAAUUCUCACUCUGCCAUCUUCCAAAAGCCACAAGAGGAUCUAGCAUGUGCUGCCUGGGGGACGUAUGACUGCCAUCCUCAAGAAGCUACCGCGUCAGGAAGAACUACAAGUAAAACAGCUGGCAGACGGUCUGUUCAGUCACCAGGCGGGCGACUAGAAAGACGAGAACGACACAACAGCAAUGAAAGGCUGCGCAGGAAGAAGAUCCGUUCGUUGUGUAAUGAAUUGAAUACUCUGGUGCCGUCGUGUACAGCUGCCACUGACACGGUCAACACAUUGCAGAGCACCUGUACCUUCCUGAAAUACAUCAAAACCUUGUAUGGAGACAACUUGACAUCGGUUAGUCGCAUUAAUCAUUUAAUUGAAGAAUGAUGAACAUUUGGCUAUUCUCUCAUCUGGAAACUUGUCUAUAUCUUUAUUUGGUCAAGUCCUUAUAGCUUUGUACAACAAAGUGUGUAGUUAUGUUGCUAACUGCUAUUUUCUAAUACUCUACAGGGUUUUCCGAUGUUUACUAUUAAAACGUUUGGUGAAAGCGUAAAACAACAGAUGGAUCAUACAGUGUUUCCCUUAUCAAAAAAUGACUUUUCUUCCAAAUAUUGUGAUAUUAGUCAAAGAAUUAACACGUUAAAUAUUUGUUUGCUGGAGUUUAACAUGUUAUGUCUGUGAAUUUUCACUCCAUAAUGAAGUAUUGGCUUAGCAAGCUUUCCGUCCAGUUGGAUUGCUAUUUCCUGUUACUGUAAAACGCAGGCUGUUCAGUCCAUAUGUAGAGAGCAGUAACAUUUUCCUGAAAAGUGGCUUUAUUUGUUCUUUCUUACAACAUGUCGCUGUAUCAUCUUACUGUACAUACAACAGAUACCCACAAAUAAUAAAUAGUAUUUAAAUGGUUUAUGUAAUAGUUACAGCACCGCUAGCACAUAGUGGAUGUGGUCAUGGUAAAACUCAACUUUGAAAAAAAUAACUGCACCCAAGGUUAUUGAAUUUAUUUUACAGUGUCUAGAUUUCUUCACCCACAUGUUUUAUUUGGCAUUUGAUUUUUGAGAUUCAACUGUUGAAAAAUAAACAAACUACUGUAAAACUUUUAAAACAAUAAAAAUACAAAAUAUUUCAGUUUGUAUUCAUCUACACAAAUAUUUUCU